UACGUCCAUACCAUCCUGAAAAAACCGAUCUCUUCUGACCUCAGAGGUGAAGCAGGGCUGGGCCUGCUUAGUACUUGGGUAGGAGAAAAAAGGAAAGAGAGUUGAUAAAAUAA
ensembl:rRNA 5S_rRNA 5S ribosomal RNA